AGAUAAAUAGUUGAACCUUUAAAAUACUAACAAAAAUGUCUUGUAUAAUUCUAUGAUUUUACAAAAAAUAUAAGUGAAAAUAGUCCUCCUCUUCUUAAGUUCUAUAUGAGAGUACAAGCAGAUUUCACAUUUGAACUGCACCUUUUUAGGCUCCUUAUUAAACAACAUUUUCUUAUACUUUUAACUCCUUUAAAAACUUCCAAACUGUUCCGUGAUCAAUGAAAGAUUACAAUCAAUGAGCAAUGAGUCAUAUACAUGAUAAGCUUGGCUGUUACAACUCAACAAACUCUUUAAUACCAAGGAUAAUAUCAAGAAGGUUGAAGAAACUUGUCAAUUCAAAAGCGGAAAAAAAGAACAUAACAAAAGAAAAACAAAUUGAGCUCACUACAAAGUAGAAUUAGAAAGCGCUCUCAAUAAAUAUAAGUUCGCCGUCAUUUUGUCAAAAUCAUCGUGGUAGAAGCAAACAAUAUAGACCCUGUCUAGAGGAAAUAUUCAUCUCCAAUUUGUGAAGGAGAAAAUGCAAGCGAGUAAUUCACCCACAUCAUGUUUUUAAGAUAAAAGUGAAUCCUAUAAUUAGUAGAGCCCAACUGAAUUACUAUCCUUACUAACUAAUAUUUACAUUCAUCCCAAUUGUUACCCGUUCUUAGUUAUGAUGGAAUAAUGAUUCCAGCAACAAAUAAAAGUUCACUAUAACGCGCACCAAGAGUGACUCAAAAUAGCAGUCUCCUCCCAAGCUUGUGCAUGGGGAAAAGAUAAAUUUUCACGGCUAUCUGCAAUAUUUGAUGCAAGACUUUGUAGCUUAUAUCAAUGGUAUAGCUGCAACAUUUUUACCUUGUGUACGUCAUUCAAACAGUUAGCCUCUUGUAUCAAUAGUAUAGCUGCAAGAUUUUACCUUGUGUCAUCCAAACAGUUAGUCAGAAGCAACUGGGCUAACUCAAGCUAACAACAACUUGAUAGAAUAUCAAUACCUAAUGAAUAUUGUAGAAGGAAUAAUCACCGAUCAAUGUAAUCAAGAACUCAAGAAGAAAAACAAAUGUGCAUGUAGACAGGAUAGUCUUUGAUUAUUAGUAGGGGCUUGGCAUCAGGUUUCCUAACCUACCUAAGACACAAAGAUUAAGCAACUCACAACAAUGAAACUCAACUUAAACUCCACAAAAUCCUACAACUAAUAGGAAUACUUGAGGAGAUAACAAACCUUCAAGAAUUGUUCAGCUAAAAGUGUAUAGGUUCAUCAAAGUUUUAGCUCAUUCAACGGUCCUUCUUAAAGUGCUCCAGUUGAAUUCUUUUUAGUAUUGAGAAUAAGCUAAGAAGGAAGACAAAGAAUUUAAGGCAACAAAGUUACUGAUCUCAAUAGAAAAUUAGUGAUUGAAAAUGACAAGUUCAACUAAUAAAAAACUACCGAGCUGAAUAUCUAACAUGAGAUUUGCCUUAUAUAUACAUACAUGUAGGAAAGGUAAAAAAUAAAUAAAAGACAAACAUACCUGCUGAAAAUGUUCAGAAUCAUAACAACAGUAUUGCAAGCAUUCUCCCCUGUUCUUCUUCCGAAUGAAGCUGUCUAAAAGAUAACAAAAAGGCAGAGGAUCAUUUCUCCACACAUCAUCUAUUUUCACAUUUUACUCAUUUUAAUUUUGAAGUACAAACAUCACAUGACAGAGUUGCUUUCAAUUGCUUUUGUAGGCAAAGGAAAAACAUAUUAAGACGACAUAAGAGAAGAUCAUGAGAGAAAAUGUAUGAAAUCGGAACUCUCAAACAAAUAUUCUUUCAUCACGACGGAAAAACUAACAUCUAUUAUAAUCUAUGUUCUUUCCCAAUGGAUUGGUGCGUAUUACUCUUUUCUCUUUCAGUUGUACAAGAUAUUGUUUCUGCAAUGUACAAACACAUAAGCAAUAUAUCUUUAACAAAUAUAAGUAAAGAACAUUUAUGUUCAGUCACAAGUUGCACUGAGCAAAUUGAUGACCGUUAAACCAUUUCAACAGACAUUUAGGUUAUCUCAACUCUACUUUGUGGAGGUGAAGAUGGGAUUUUCAAUAGACCCAAAGCAAAUUAAACAUUGAGGUUAAAUAUUUGUAAUACUUGUGAUACGACAAGAGAGUCUGGGAUCGCCUGCUAUGGCUGCAAGCACAGAUUACAGGGUAAUUUGCCAUCCGGGUUGCCCGACCAAGAUAAGGAUCCGAUUUUUUCCCUACACUAUUGAUUUGCUCAGAGAAAAAAGAAAAUCAUCAUUAUAGCCUCAGAAUUUUCGCACCAAUUAUUAUUAGUAAUUACUACUACUGCUAUUGAUUCUCACUUUGGGUUGAGAAUUUUUUGAGAGAGCAAGCAUAGAUUAAGGGACCGUUUGGUAGUUGAAGAACUUAAAAUGGCUGUUGAAAUAUAUUUUUCACAGCAAAAAUUGAAAUCACAGGCAUUGCAGAGAGAGGAGCAACAUACCUUUGAAGUGUUCCCCUUUACUCUCUACAACCCUCAUUCUUUGGCUCUAAAUCUAAGAUAAGUCUUUUUCCUUUAACAGAAAAAUUCUCAUGUGUUUAUCGACCUGUGAAUUCAACAGUUGUAAUGUUCAAAGAAAUUUAUAUCAGCAAAUGAAACACUGAGGCUCAGAUCUGUAAUACUUACAACUCGGCAAGAGUGACUUGAAUCGCCACCUCAAUGGCUGCAAGCACCAAUUGCAGGGUCACUUCCAUCCAAGUUAACCAAACCAAGAUACGUGUCAAAUUUCUGUCCUGCACUAUCAAUUUGGUCAGAGAAAGAAGAAAAUCAUAAUCAUAGCAUUGAAAUUUUUGCAACAAUUAUUAUUAUUAGUUCUACUACUACUAUUAAUGUUCCGCACUUUAGGAUUGAAAAUUCUAUAGAAUAAUCAAAUAUUAAGGGGUCCCUCGCUAAGAUGUUUACAUGCAAAAGGGCUAUCAAUUAUUUAUUUAUUUUUCACAAAAAAUAAGAAGGAAUUACAGACAUUGCAGAGAGGAAGCAACAAUAGCGCCCUUCCAACUUUCUCCUCUACUCUCGGCUAAUUCUCGUUCUUUCGGCUUUGAUUUGUGUUGUGUGAUGAAGAGAGUUGAAAGAAGAAAAAUAAUAUUUCUGACUAUUCUAGUUCUAGUGAAAAGAUGUAGAAGUUGUAG
rnacentral:lncRNA from 1 species